UACGGGGGGGCAAGCGUUGUUCGGAAUACUGGGCGUAAAGGGCUCGUAGGCGGCCAACUAAGUCAGACGUGAAAUCCCCCAGGCUAACCUGGGAACUGCGUCGGAUACUGGAUGGCUUGAAUUCGGGGAGAGGAUGCAGAAUCCUGGUGUAGCGGUGAAAUGCGUAGAUAUCAGGAGGAACACCGGUGGCGAAGGCGCUUUCGUGGACAGAUACCGACGUGGAGGCACGAAAAGCCUAGGGGAGCAAACA
rnacentral:rRNA from 1 species